UAAAAGGCUUAUCGGAUAUCUUGGGGAAAGGUGUAUGGACUUGAUACAUAGAAAAAACUCUAUCGUAGACAUUAUGCGAACAUAGGUAUAAUUCACCCUCAUACCAGAUUGGGUAUCGAGAUAGAGUAUGUUUGGCGUUCAUACGGUAUGGGACGGUUAGUUAAUUGAUAACUUAGAUAUUGGGUCCACGCGUAGGGAGAAUCCUUAUAAACCCCCAGAGGUACUGAUAAGCAGGUGAAAAAGUAAGUUUAUUAUUAUUGUUCCUUUAAAUGUGUAAUAAAUUGUUAU
rnacentral:lncRNA from 1 species